UGCAAGUCGAACGGCAGCACGGGGGCAACCCUGGUGGCGAGUGGCGAACGGGUGAGUAAUACAUCGGAACGUGUCCUGUAGUGGGGGAUAGCCCGGCGAAAGCCGGAUUAAUACCGCAUACGCUCUACGGAGGAAAGGGGGGGAUCUCAGGACCUCCCGCUACAGGGGCGGCCGAUGGCAGAUUAGCUAGUUGGUGGGGUAAAGGCCUACCAAGGCGACGAUCUGUAGCUGGUCUGAGAGGACGACCAGCCACACUGGGACUGAGACACGGCCCAGACUCCUACGGGAGGCAGCAGUGGGGAAUUUUGGACAAUGGGCGAAAGCCUGAUCCAGCAAUGCCGCGUGUGUGAAGAAGGCCUUCGGGUUGUAAAGCACUUUUGUCCGGAAAGAAAACCUCCGCCCUAAUAUGGUGGGGGGAUGACGGUACCGGAAGAAUAAGCACCGGCUAACUACGUGCCAGCAGCCGCGGUAAUACGUAGGGUGCAAGCGUUAAUCGGAAUUACUGGGCGUAAAGCGUGCGCAGGCGGUCCGCUAAAACAGAUGUGAAAUCCCCGGGCUUAACCUGGGAACUGCAUUUGUGACUAUGGCGGUCUAGAGUAUGGCAGAGGGGGGUAGAA
rnacentral:rRNA from 1 species